rnacentral:lncRNA from 1 species
ACAUUCAUCAUUUCAUAGGUAUAUCUUAUUACAACCAUGUACAUUCAUCAUUUCAUAGGCAUGACUUAUUACAACCAUGCACAUUCAUCAUUUUAUAAUAGAGCAUGCAGUCAUUUCAUAAUAAAGCAUGAAUUCAUUUCAUAAAAGAGCAUGCCUUAUUAUCAUUCAUUUCAUAACAAAGCACGCAUUCAUUUCAUAACAAAGCAUGUCUCAUUAUCACGCAUUCAUUUCAUAACAGAGCAUGCAUUCAUUUCAUAACAGAGCAUGUCUCAUUAUCAUACAUUCAUUUCAUAAUAGAGCAUGCAUUCAUUUCAUAACAGAUCAUGCAUUCAUUUCAUAACAGAGCAUGUCGCAUUAUCAGGCAUACAUUUCUCAUUAGCAGCAGAUUAUCAUGCUCACAUAUCAUAAUAAGAACAUGUUAUACAUAUACUCAUAUGAAACAUCAACAUG